rnacentral:rRNA from 1 species
GUCAGAGUUUGAUCCUGGCUCAGAUUGAACGCUGGCGGCAGGCUUAACACAUGCAAGUCGAGCGGAGAUGAGGUGCUUGCACCUUAUCUUAGCGGCGGACGGGUGAGUAAUGCUUAGGAAUCUGCCUAUUAGUGGGGGACAACAUUUCGAAAGGAAUGCUAAUACCGCAUACGCCCUACGGGGGAAAGCAGGGGAUCUUCGGACCUUGCGCUAAUAGAUGAGCCUAAGUCGGAUUAGCUAGUUGGUGGGGUAAAGGCCUACCAAGGCGACGAUCUGUAGCGGGUCUGAGAGGAUAAUCCCCCGACACUGGCACUGAGAUACGGGCCAGACUCCUACGGGAGCAGCAGUGGGGAAUAUUGGGCAAUGGAGGAAACUCUGACCCCAGCGACGCCGCGUGCGGGAUGAAGGCCUUC